UACGUAGGGGGCAAGCGUUGUCCGGAUUUAUUGGGCGUAAAGAGCGUGUAGGCGGCCAGACAGGUCCGUUGUGAAAACUAGAGGCUUAAACCUCUAGACGUCGAUGGAAACCGUCUGGCUAGAGUCCGGAAGAGGAGAAUGGAAUUCCUGGUGUCAGCGGUGAAAUGCGCAGAGUAUCAGGAAGAACACCCGUGGCUAAGGCGGUUCUCUAGUACGGUACUGACGCUGAGACGCGAAAGCGUGGGAGCGAACAGG
rnacentral:rRNA from 1 species